UUAAAUUGAAGAGUUUGAUCAUGGCUCAGAUUGAACGCUGGCGGCAGGCCUAACACAUGCAAGUCGAACGGUAACAGGAAGCAGCUUGCUGCUUUGCUGACGAGUGGCGGACGGGUGAGUAAUGUCUGGGAAACUGCCUGAUGGAGGGGGAUAACUACUGGAAACGGUGGCUAAUACCGCAUAACGUCGCAAGACCAAAGAGGGGGACCUUCGGGCCUCUUGCCAUCAGAUGUGCCCAGAUGGGAUUAGCUUGUUGGUGAGGUAACGGCUCACCAAGGCGACGAUCCCUAGCUGGUCUGAGAGGAUGACCAGCCACACUGGAACUGAGACACGGUCCAGACUCCUACGGGAGGCAGCAGUGGGGAAUAUUGCACAAUGGGCGCAAGCCUGAUGCAGCCAUGCCGCGUGUAUGAAGAAGGCCUUCGGGUUGUAAAGUACUUUCAGCGGGGAGGAAGGUGUUGUGGUUAAUAACCGCAGCAAUUGACGUUACCCGCAGAAGAAGCACCGGCUAACUCCGUGCCAGCAGCCGCGGUAAUACGGAGGGUGCAAGCGUUAAUCGGAAUUACUGGGCGUAAAGCGCACGCAGGCGGUCUGUCAAGUCGGAUGUGAAAUCCCCGGGCUCAACCUGGGAACUGCAUUCGAAACUGGCAGGCUUGAGUCUUGUAGAGGGGGGUAGAAUUCCAGGUGUAGCGGUGAAAUGCGUAGAGAUCUGGAGGAAUACCGGUGGCGAAGGCGGCCCCCUGGACAAAGACUGACGCUCAGGUGCGAAAGCGUGGGGAGCAAACAGGAUUAGAUACCCUGGUAGUCCACGCCGUAAACGAUGUCUACUUGGAGGUUGUGCCCUUGAGGCGUGGCUUCCGGAGCUAACGCGUUAAGUAGACCGCCUGGGGAGUACGGCCGCAAGGUUAAAACUCAAAUGAAUUGACGGGGGCCCGCACAAGCGGUGGAGCAUGUGGUUUAAUUCGAUGCAACGCGAAGAACCUUACCUGGUCUUGACAUCCACAGAAGAAUCCAGAGAUGGAUUGGUGCCUUCGGGAACUGUGAGACAGGUGCUGCAUGGCUGUCGUCAGCUCGUGUUGUGAAAUGUUGGGUUAAGUCCCGCAACGAGCGCAACCCUUAUCCUUUGUUGCCAGCGGUUAGGCCGGGAACUCAAAGGAGACUGCCAGUGAUAAACUGGAGGAAGGUGGGGAUGACGUCAAGUCAUCAUGGCCCUUACGACCAGGGCUACACACGUGCUACAAUGGCGCAUACAAAGAGAAGCGACCUCGCGAGAGCAAGCGGACCUCAUAAAGUGCGUCGUAGUCCGGAUUGGAGUCUGCAACUCGACUCCAUGAAGUCGGAAUCGCUAGUAAUCGUGGAUCAGAAUGCCACGGUGAAUACGUUCCCGGGCCUUGUACACACCGCCCGUCACACCAUGGGAGUGGGUUGCAAAAGAAGUAGGUAGCUUAACCUUCGGGAGGGCGCUUACCACUUUGUGAUUCAUGACUGGGGUGAAGUCGUAACAAGGUAACCGUAGGGGAACCUGCGGUUGGAUCACCUCCUUACCUUAAAGAAGC
rnacentral:rRNA from 1 species